UACGGGGGGGGCAAGCGUUGUUCGGAAUUACUGGGCGUAAAGGGCGCGUAGGCGGUUCGCUAAGUCGGAUGUGAAAACUCUGGGCUCAACCCAGAGCCUGCAUCCGAAACUGGCGGGCUAGAGUUCUGGAGGGGGUAGCGGAAUUCCUGGUGUAGCGGUGAAAUGCGUAGAUAUCAGGAGGAACACCCGUGGCGAAGGCGGCUUCCUGGGGCCAUCCUGACACUGAGAAGCGAAAGCUAGGGGAGCGAACGGG
rnacentral:rRNA from 1 species